ACAUGCCUACAACAUAGCGUUAAUGCACCGGAUCCUAUUAGAACUCCAUAGUUAAGCGCUCUCAAGCUAGAGUAGUAUUGGGAUGGGUGACCGCCCAGGAAGUCCUAGUAUUUUACAUGCC
rnacentral:rRNA from 1 species